CAGUAGCCGCGGUAAUACGGAGGGAGCUAGCGUUGUUCGGAAUUACUGGGCGUAAAGCGCACGUAGGCGGUUUAUCAAGUCAGAGGUGAAAGCCCGGGGCUCAACCCCGGAACUGCCUUUGAAACUAGUAGACUUGAAUCUUGGAGAGGUCAGUGGAAUUCCGAGUGUAGAGGUGAAAUUCGUAGAUAUUCGGAAGAACACCAGUGGCGAAGGCGACUGACUGGACAAGUAUUGACGCUGAGGUGCGAAAGCGUGGGGAGCAAACAGGAUUAGAUACCCUGUAGUCCCUGUCUCUUAUACA
rnacentral:rRNA from 1 species